rnacentral:rRNA from 1 species
UACAGAGGGGGCAAGCGUUGUUCGGAAUUAUUGGGCGUAAAGAGCUCGUAGGCGGUUUGUCGCGUCUGCCGUGAAAGUCCGGGGCUCAACUCCGGAUCUGCGGUGGGUACGGGCAGACUAGAGUGAUGUAGGGGGGACUGGAAUUCCUGGUGUAGCGGUGAAAUGCGCAGAUAUCAGGAGGAACACCGAUGGCGAAGGCAGGUCUCUGGGCCAUAACUGACGCUGAGAAGCGAAAGCAUGGGGAGCGAACAGG